rnacentral:rRNA from 1 species
GAUGAACGCUGGCGGCGUGCCUAAUACAUGCAAGUCGAGCGAACAGACGAGGAGCUUGCUCCUCUGACGUUAGCGGCGGACGGGUGAGUAACACGUGGAUAACCUACCUAUAAGACUGGGAUAACUUCGGGAAACCGGAGCUAAUACCGGAUAAUAUAUUGAACCGCAUGGUUCAAUAGUGAAAGACGGUUUUGCUGUCACUUAUAGAUGGAUCCGCGCCGCAUUAGCUAGUUGGUAAGGUAACGGCUUACCAAGGCAACGAUGCGUAGCCGACCUGAGAGGGUGAUCGGCCACAUUGGGACUGAGACACGGCCCAAACUCCUACGGGAGGCAGCAGUAGGGAAUCUUCGGCAAUGGACGAAAGUCUGACCGAGCAACGCCGCGUGAGUGAAGAAGGUUUUCGGAUCGUAAAACUCUGUUGGUAGAGAAGAACGUUGGUGAGAGUGGAAAGCUCAUCAAGUGACGGUAACUACCCAGAAAGGGACGGCUAACUACGUG